rnacentral:rRNA from 1 species
GCAAUGUGCAGAGGCAGAAGCCGUAUCGAGAGGCACGGUGGACACUGCACAAGAGAGAAUGCCGGUAUGAGUAGCGAGAGGCAUGCGAGAAACAUGCCCGUCGAAAGCCCAAGGUUUCCUGGGGAAGGUUCAUCCGCCCAGGGUAAGUCGGGGCCUAAGCCGAGGACGGAAGUCGUAGGCGAUGGACAGCAGGUGUAGAUUCCUGCACUACCGAUGGAAUGAAGCAGUGACACAGAAGGAUAACUCGAGCAGGGUGAUGGUCAACCCUGUGCAAGCAUCAAGGUUGGGUUGUAGUGAAGUACGCAAUCCUAUAAGCUGAGGUGUGAUGCGGACCGAAAUUUCAGUAGGGAAGCGAGUGAGUUCACGCUGGCGAGAAAAGCUGCUAGUACAUCCAAAGGUACCCGUACCGGAAACCGACGCAGGUGGGCGAGGAGAGAAUCCUGAGACGAACGGGAGAACCCUUGUUAAGGAACUCGGCAAAAUGACCCCGUAACUUCGGGAUAAGGGGUGCCUGCGAGAGCAGGCCGCAGAGAAUAGUCACAAGCGACUGUUUAGCAAAAACACAGGUAUCUGCGAAAGCGAGAGCUGACGUAUAGGUGCUGACACCUGCCCGGUGCUGGAAGGUUAAGGGAACAUGUUAGAGCAAUCGAAGCAUCGAACCGAAGCCCCAGUAAACGGCGGCCGUAACUAUAACGGUCCUAAGGUAGCGAAAUUCCUUGUCGGGUAAGUUCCGACCCGCACGAAUGGUGUAACGACUUGUGAGCUGUCUCAACAGGGGGCCCGGUGAAAUUGAAGUAUGGGUGAAGAUGCCCAUUACCCGCGACUGGACGGAAAGACCCCGUAGAGCUUUACUGCAGCCUGAUAUUGAGUUUCGGUAACUGAUGCACAGGAUAGGUGGGAGUCUGAGAGACAUGGGUUUCGGCUCGUGUGGAGACGAUGUUGGGAUACCACUCUUCGGUUACUGAAAUUCUAACAUAGCUCUGUGAAACCAGAGGAUGGACAGUGUCAGGUGGACAGUUUGACUGGGGCGGUCGCCUCCGAAAGAGUAACGGAGGCGCCCAAAGGUACCCUCAGAAUGGAUGGAAACCAUUCGAAGAGCGCAAAGGCAGAAGGGUGCCUGACUGCGAGAUUGACAAAUCGAGCAGAGACGAAAGUCGGGCUUAGUGAUCCGGCGGUAUUGAGUGGAAAAGCCGUCGCUUAACGGAUAAAAGCUACCUCGGGGAUAACAGGCUGAUCUCCCCCAAGAGUCCACAUCGACGGGGAGGUUUGGCAC